GACGAACGCUGGCGGCGUGCUUAACACAUGCAAGUCGAACGGAAAGGCCCUGCUUUCGUGGUUUGCUCGUGUGGCUAACGUGUGAGUAACACGUGAGUAACCUCCCCUUCACUUUGGGAUAACUUCAGGAAACUGGGCCAAAUCCCGGAUAGUUGCUCUUGCUUCUUGUGGGGGGUUGGAAAUUUUGGGCGGUUGGGGAUGGACACGCGGCUUUUUAGCUUGUUGGUGGGGUAGGGGCUUACCAGGGCUUUGAUGGUUAGCCGGCCUGAGUGGGUGACCGGCAAGAGUGGGACUGAGAUAGGGCCCAGACUCCUGCGGGGGGCAGCGGGGGGGAAGAUGGCAGAAAGGGCGGAAGUCUGAUGCAGCAACGCCGCGUGCGGGAUGACGGCUUACGGGUGGUAAACCGCUUUCGCCGGGGAAGAAGCAUGAGUGACGGUACCGGGUCAAGAAGCACAGGCUAACUACGUG
rnacentral:rRNA from 1 species